UGAUGCUGUUGGAUAAGUUGAUUG
rnacentral:siRNA from 1 species